GACGAACGCUGGCGGCGUGCUUAACACAUGCAAGUCGAACGGAAAGGCCCUGCUUGCAGGGUACUCGAGUGGCGAACGGGUGAGUAACACGUGGGUGAUCUGCCCUGCACUUCGGGAUAAGCCUGGGAAACUGGGUCUAAUACCGGAUAGGAGCCAUUUUUAGUGUGAUGGUUGGAAAGUUUUUUCGGUGUAGGAUGAGCUCGCGGCCUAUCAGCUUGUUGGUGGGGUAAUGGCCUACCAAGGCGGCGACGGGUAGCCGGCCUGAGAGGGUGGGCGGCCACAAGGGAACUGAGACGGGGUCGAGAGGCCUAGGGGAGGGAGGAGGAGGGGAUGGUGGGCAAUGGGCGAAAGCGUGACGGAGGCACGCCGCUUGAGUGAUGAAGGUCGUUGGAUUGUAGAACUCGGUUAGGAGGGAAGAACAUAUGGGUAAGUAACUGUGCGCAUCUUGACGGUACCUAAUCAGAAAGCGACGGCUCACUACGUG
rnacentral:rRNA from 1 species